CGGGGCGUAGCGCAGCCCGGUAGCGCACUUGCAUGGGGUGCAAGGGGUCGGCGGUUCAAAUCCGCCCGCCCCGACCA
rnacentral:tRNA from 2 species